rnacentral:lncRNA from 1 species
UUAUCAUGUUUAGAGUUAACUACCAAACAUUAAAUGUUUGGCACAUAGCAUUUUUGCAGCUUGAUAGACAAUCAGAGGUCACAAGGGGUAUACAAGGAGAUAUCCCAUGGUGUAUGCUCUUUGCGGAUGAUGUGGUGCUAGUUGACGAUAGUCGGACGGGGGUAAAUAGGAAGUUAGAGUUAUGGAGACAAACCUUGGAAUCGAAAGGGUUUAGGCUUAGUAGAACUAAAACCGAGUACAUGAUGUGCAGUUUCAGUACUACUAGCUGUGAGGAGGAGGAGGUUAGCCUUGAUGGCCAGGUGGUACCUCGGAAGGACACCUUUCGGUAUUUGGGGUCAAUGUUGCAGGAGGAUGGGGGUAUUGAUGAAGAUGUGAACCAUCGAAUCAAUGCCGGAUGGAUGAAGUGGCGCCAAGCUUCUGGCAUUCUCUGUGACAAGAGAGUGCCACAAAAGCUAAAAGGCAAGUUCUACAGGACGGCGGUUCGACCCGCAAUGUUGUAUGGCGCGGAGUGUUGGCCGACUAAAAGGCGACAUGUUCAACAGUUAGGUGUGGCGGAGAUGCGUAUGUUGAGAUGGAUGUGUGGCCACACGAGGAAGGAUCGAGUCCGGAAUGAUGAUAUACGAGAUAGAGUUGGGGUAGCACCAAUUGAGGAGAAGCUUGUCCAACAUCGUUUGAGAUGGUUUGGGCAUAUUCAGCGCAGGCCUCCAGAAGCUCCAGUGCAUAGCGGACGGCUAAAGCGUGCGGAUAAUGUCAAGAGAGGGCGGGGUCAACCGAUUUUGACAUGGGAGGAGUCCGUUAAGAGAGACCUGAAGGAUUGGAGUAUCGACAAAGAGCUAGCUAUGGACAGGGGUGCGUGGAAGCUUGCUAUCCAUGUGCCAGAGCCAUGAGUUGGUUGCGAGAUCUUAUGGGUUUCACCUCUAGCCUACCCCAACUUGUUUGGGACUAAAGGCUUUGUUGUUGUUGUUGUUGUUUGUUGAUAGACAAUCAGAGAGGUAUUGCAAAGCAGGAGCAUGUACCAGAUAAUUUGCAGAAUCACAACAUCUGGAGGUGUCUUCAAAGUUACAGGAUUGUUCUAUGUCACUUAAAAAAGUUAAAUCGCUAUUAGAUUAAGGGACUGCAUUCCUUCUACAAAGUUACUACUCGUACAAUUUUAGAAACACACCCAAUGCAGAUUUGUAUGAACAACCUAAACUGCAGUUUCAGACUUUUAAUACCACUUGACACCAAUAUUAUUAGAAGUAUAGAUGGAAGUGCAUACUUCGUGUUUAUCACAUAGACUUGUGAUAACAGAAAGGAUAACUAAGCACAAUGUGCACAUGAACCACACUGCUAAUUCAAGUCCAAUAAACCACGUGAUUUUCCAGGAAAAAGAAUGUUAUGUGAUCCAAAUGAAAUUGUUAUUUAGAUAUACAUAGUGUCGAUCUAAACUACUGUGGCCUUAAGAGAAGCAGUAGACAUCGAGCUAGAAACAUACUAUAGGUAGAUAACAUAAGGGCUAGGAUCCAAUAUUCAGUGAGAACGAUUAAAACACGAAGUCGCCAAAUCAAAAUAUGUCCAUUUGCGCGCUUGUACAGAGAUUGAACAUGCUGAAACGCAGUGGAAGUAAAUAUCACAUGGGUAGCUUAUUAUAUUGUC